rnacentral:rRNA from 1 species
GACGAACGCUGGCGGCGUGCUUAACACAUGCAAGUCGAACGGAAAGGCCUGCUUUCCCUUGUGGAUUGCGGGUACUCGAGUGGCGAACGGGUGAGUAACACGUGAGUGAUCUGCCCCCAACUUGGGUAUAAGCCUGGGAAACUGGGUCUAAUUCCCGAUAGGACUGCAGGGUGGUGCCUGUGGUGGAAAACGAUUUUCUAGUGGUUGGGGAUGAGCUCGCGGCCUAUCAGCUUGUUGGUGGGGUAAUGGCCUACCAAGGCGGCGACGGGUAGCCGGCCUGAGAUGGUGGACGGUGGAACUGAGACUGAGACACGACCCAGACGGCUACGGGAGGCAGCAGUGGGGAAGAUUGGACAAUGGGCGGAAGCCUGAUGCGGCGACGCAGUGUGGGGGAUGACGGGAUUCGGGUAGUAAGCUACUAGGGACCGAGAGGUAGGUAAGUGGUUGGAAGGGUGGUGACGGUAGUGGUAGAAGAAGCAACGGCUAACUACGUG